GUCGAACGCACUCUUCGGAGUGAGUGGCAGACGGGUGAGUAACGCGUGGAAACGUGCCUUUCUCUACGGAAUAGCCCUUGGAAACGAGGUGUAAUACCGUAUACGCCCUUAGGGGGAAAGAUUUAUCGGAGAAAGAUCGGUCCGCGUUAGAUUAGUUUGUUGGUGGGGUAAUGGCCUACCAAGACUACGAUCUAUAGCUGAUUUGAGAGGAUGAUCAGCCACACUGGAACUGAGACACGGUCCAGACUCCUACGGGAGGCAGCAGUGGGGAAUCUUGGACAAUGGGGGAAACCCUGAUCCAGCCAUGCCGCGUGAAUGAUGAAGGCCUUAGGGUUGUAAAAUUCUUUCACCGGGGAAGAUAAUGACGGUACCCGGAGAAGAAGCUCCGGCUAACUUCGUGCCAGCAGCCGCGGUAAUACGAAGGGAGCUAGCGUUGUUCGGAAUUACUGGGCGUAAAGCGCACGUAGGCGGAUUAGUAAGUAAGAGGUGAAAUCCCAGGGCUCAACCCUGGAACUGCCUUUUAAACUGCUAGUCUAGAGGAUAGGAGAGGUCAGUGGAAUACCGAGUGUAGAGGUGAAAUUCGUAGAUAUUCGGUGGAACACCAGUGGCGAAGGCGACUG
rnacentral:rRNA from 1 species